rnacentral:tRNA from 1 species
CCCUGGAGGACUAGUGGUUAGGCCUCGGUGCUCUCACCGCCGUGGCCCGGGCUCGAUUCCCAGCACAAGGGG